GAUGAAGAACGUAGCAAAAUGCGAUAAGUAAUGUGAAUUGCAGAAUUCAGUGAAUCAUCGAAUCUUUGAACGCACAUUGCGCCCGCUGGUAUUCCGGCGGGCAUGCCUGUUCGAGCGUCAUUUCAACCCUCAAGCCCCCGGGUUUGGUGUUGGGGAUCGGCUCUGCCCUUCUGGGCGGUGCCGUCCCCGAAAUACAUUGGCGGUCUCGCUGCAGCCUCCAUUGCGUAGUAGCUAACACCUCGCAACUGGAACGNGGCGCGGCCAUGCCGUAAAACCCCAACUUCUGAAUGUUGACCUCGGAUCAGGUAGGAAUACCCGCUGAACUUAAGCAUAUCAAUAAGCGGAGGA
rnacentral:misc_RNA from 1 species